CAGGGGGGUAGGAUGAAGUGUUAGGGCUACAUGACACUCCAAACAAAGUGUUAUGAGAAAAAGGAAAAACCGGCAAGAUGGCUGCAAAAGCUACCAAAGAAACCUACAAAUCCAGAGAGUGCUUACUCACCGUGCACUGCUGUGUCCCUCUCACAGCUGUCUGCCGACACACACUCACUCAACUGAAGAUCUAUGUGAUGUGAGGUCACAUUGGUUGGUUUUGGUCAGGUUUUCCUCAGUGGUCCAGUCAAUGCAGUUUUCACCUCUUUUCAAGCGCUUUUGAUUUUGAUCACGAACAUGCCCAUACUGAGUCUGAACCUGCCAGUGUCUGAGAGGGAACUGUGGAGGAGGCCAUGACUGGCCUUUGUGCCUUGUAAGCAGUUUUGACCAGUGGAGGUCCAGUAUGGGGGCAACACACAAAAAACU